CAGUAGCCGCGGUAAUACCGAGGGUGCAAGCGUUAAUCGGAAUUACUGGGCGUAAAGCGCGCGUAGGUGGUUUGUUAAGUUGGAUGUGAAAUCCCCGGGCUCAACCUGGGAACUGCAUCCAAAACUGGCAGGCUAGAGUCUCGUAGAGGGGGGUAGAAUUCCAGGUGUAGCGGUGAAAUGCGUAGAGAUCUGGAGGAAUACCGGUGGCGAAGGCGGCCCCCUGGACGAAGACUGACGCUCAGGUACGAAAGCGUGGGGAGCAAACAGGAUUAGAUACCCCAGUAGUCCCUGUCUCUUAUAC
rnacentral:rRNA from 1 species